UACGGGAGGCAGCAGUGGGGAAUAUUGCACAAUGGGCGCAAGCCUGAUGCAGCCAUGCCGCGUGUAUGAAAAAGGCCUUCGGGUUGUAAAGUACUUUCAGUCGUGAGGAAGGUGUUAAGGUUAAUAACCUUAGCAAUUGACGUUAGCGACAGAAGAAGCACCGGCUAACUCCGUGCCAGCAGCCGCGGUAAUACGGAGGGUGCGAGCGUUAAUCGGAAUUACUGGGCGUAAAGGGCACGCAGGCGGUUAAUUAAGUUGGAUGUGAAAUCCCCGGGCUUAACCUGGGAAUGGCAUUCAAGACUGGUUAGCUAGAGUCUUGUAGAGGGGGUUAGAAUUCCAUGUGUAGCGGUGAAAUGCGUAGAGAUGUGGAGGAAUACCGGUGCGAAGGCGGCCCCUGGACAAAGACUGACGCUCAUGUGCGAAAGCGUGGGGAGCAAAC
rnacentral:rRNA from 1 species